UACAGAGGUCUCAAGCGUUGUUCGGAUUCAUUGGGCGUAAAGGGUGCGUAGGUGGCGCUGUAAGUCGGGUGUGAAAUUUCGGAGCUUAACUCCGAAACUGCAUUCGACUAACUGCGGUGCUUGAGGACUGGAGAGGAGUACUGGAAUUCGAUGGUGUAGCAGUGAAAUGCGUAGAGAUCAUGAGGAAGACCAGUGGCGAAGGCGGGUCAUCUGGA
rnacentral:rRNA from 1 species